rnacentral:rRNA from 1 species
UACGUAGGUGGCAAGCGUUGUCCGGAUUUACUGGGCGUAAAGAGCGCGCAGGCGGCUGGGCAAGUCCGAUGUGAAAGCUUCCGGCUUAACUGGAAAAUUGCAUCGGAAACUGCUCAGCUUGAAGGUGGGAGAGGGUAGCGGAAUUCCCGGUGUAGUGGUGAAAUGCGUAGAUAUCGGGAGGAACACCAGUGGCGAAGGCGGCGACCUGGCCCGUACUUGACGCUGAGGCGCGAAAGCUAGGGGAGCGAACGGG